GAUGAACGCUGGCGGCGUGCCUAAUACAUGCAAGUCGAGCGAACAGAUAAGGAGCUUGCUCCUUUGACGUUAGCGGCGGACGGGUGAGUAACACGUGGAUAACCUACCUAUAAGACUGGGAUAACUUCGGGAAACCGGAGCUAAUACCGGAUAACAUAUUGAACCGCAUGGUUCAAUAGUGAAAGGCGGCUUUGCUGUCACUUAUAGAUGGAUCCGCGCCGUAUUAGCUAGUUGGUAAGGUAACGGCUUACCAAGGCAACGAUACGUAGCCGACCUGAGAGGGUGAUCGGCCACCCUGGAACUGAGACACGGUCCAGACUCCUACGGGAGGCCGCAGUAGGGAAUCUUCCGCAAUGGGCGAAAGCCUGACGGAGCAACGCCGCGUGAGUGAUGAAGGUCUUCGGAUCGUAAAACUCUGUUAUCAGGGAAGAACAAAUGUGUAAGUAACUGUGCACAUCUUGACGGUACCUGAUCAGAAAGCCACGGCUAACUACGUG
rnacentral:rRNA from 1 species